rnacentral:miRNA from 1 species
UCAGCUACACCUUAUGAAAAUGCAGAGUCUUGUUCAGUGGGUUUCUGAGAUUCUGCAUUUCUCACAAGCUCCUAGAUGAGGCCA